rnacentral:tRNA from 2 species
GGAAGUGUGGCCGAGCGGUUGAAGGCACCGGUUUUGAAAACCGGCGACCCGAAAGGGUUCCAGAGUUCGAAUCUCUGCGCUUCCGCCA